AGUCUCCUCCAUUUGAAGAUGCUGUUAUUGAUGCUGAAAUGAAGAGCGUGUCUGUGAUGAGGGGAGAUUCUGUCACUCUUCAGAUUGAUGUUACGGAAGUGAGCUGGGUCAGACUGGGUCUAUGACCAUCACAAACAUCAGAAACACACAGACUCUGGACUUUAUACACUGAAGAUCAGCAGCAAUAGACAGAAUUUAUAGAAGAGAUUCAUUGUUACUGUCACUGCUCUGUCUCCAGGUGCUAAAGCAGAAAUGUGUUGUUGUCAAAGAAUCGCCAAAUAAUUUGUCAUCUAAAAUGUUUGAAGGUGAGAUGUGCAUUGUGAAACCAGACUCCUCCAAGUCAUCGUUCUCUUCAAUGGCCUCACAAAAUUUUCUCCCUCCAAAAUGAAGGCAUUGUUAUGUAUUGUGGUUUGAACUUUGUGGCCAACACAGAUUGAGUCUGUGGAGAAUUUAAAAUCUUAAUCUCCAUCAAGACUGACAAAAUUCAUUGCUGGAGCAUGUACCAUUCUAGUACUGGAUAGUUGCUGGUACUCCAUGGUGUUUUCUUUUUAAACUCUUAGGCUGGUCUCAUGCAUGUAGUCAUGCAAAAAAAGUAUUAUUUUUUAAAAUAAUUUUUGUUUCUUUUAUGCCCUUGUUAUGUUUAGAUAUGAACAUUUUUGAAGCCAUUUUGUUUACCUGUAUAUUAUUAUUAUUAAUUUAAUCUCCUAUUAUUAUUUUGUUUUCUUUUCAUGUAUAGUGUCGUGAUAUAAGGAAUGAUUGUGUUUCACUUUGUUUUGAGUUUGAAAUGGUUAACUUACCUAUAAAAGGAAAAAAAAAAAACCUAAAUAGGUAUUACCAAUUAGCUUUUACCAACUAACAAAUUUACCUAAACAGAUUAUUUAACUCAAGUGCAUCUACUAAAUAAGACUAAUUCUAAUUAUAUUUACUUGCCUUUUAAAGUGUACUUUUACUAUUUACUUUGUAUUACUUAACUUUUAUUACCUGCAGUAAUUUUUGAAUAAUUGUUUUGUGUAUUGCCU